UACGUAGGCAGCGAGCGUUGUUCGGAGUUACUGGGCGUAAAGGGUGUGGUAGGCGGUUCUUUAAGUUUGGUGUGAAAUCUCCCGGCUCAACCGGGAGGGUGCGCCGAAUACUAGGACUAGAGUGCGGGAGAGGAAAGUGGAAUUCCUGGUGUAGCGGUGAAAUGCGUAGAUAUCGGGAGGAACACCCGUAGCGAAGGCGGCACUCUGGGCCGGAACUGACGCUGGAGGAGCGAAAGCGUGGGGAGCAAACAGG
rnacentral:rRNA from 1 species